UUUAAUCUGACCAUAUCCAGCCUAAAUAUUCUAAAUGUUUGAUGUUCAAACUGGCCAGAACUAGUAUCUCACACCUACUCUGAAAUGUCAUUCAAAAAAUAAACAAUUACGUCUUUCAAAUCUUGAAGCUACAAGAUAAUACCAGAUUGAUUUUU